rnacentral:rRNA from 1 species
CCCUCCUCUUCUUUCCUUCCCUCUCCAAUAGCGUAUAUUAAAGUUGUUGCAGUUAAAAAGCUCGUAGUUGGACCUUAGGCAAGGCGGCCUGGUCACCCUCUGGGUGUACUGGGAUCGCUGCGCCUCACCUUCGGGGAGCUAGUCGUGCUUCGGUGCGCUAGGGAACCGAGCCUUACCUUGAGGAAAUUAGAGUGUUUAAAGCAGGCUUAUGCUUGAAUACGUUUGCAUGGAAUAACAUGAUAGGACUUUGGUUCUAUUUUGUUGGUUUGAGGACCAAAGUAAUGAUUAAUAGGGACAGUUGGGGGCAUUAGUAUUCAAUAGUCAGAGGUGAAAUUCUUGGAUUUAUUGAA